CCUACGGGAGGCAGCAGUGAGGAAUAUUGGUCAAUGGGCGAGAGCCUGAACCAGCCAAGUCGCGUGAGGGAGUACUGCCCUAUGGGUUGUAAACCUCUUUUGUCGGGGAGCAAAAGCCGGACGUGUCCGGCUGUGAGAGUACCCGAAGAAAAAGCAUCGGCUAACUCCGUGCCAGCAGCCGCGGUAAUACGGAGGAUUCGAGCGUUAUCCGGAUUUAUUGGGUUUAAAGGGUGCGCAGGCGGAUUUUUAAGUCAGCGGUAAAAUCGUGGGGCUCAACCCCAUCCAGCCGUUGAAACUGGGGAUCUAGAGUGUGCGAGAGGUAUGCGGAAUGCGUGGUGUAGCGGUGAAAUGCAUAGAUAUCACGCAGAACCCCGAUUGCGAAGGCAGCAUACCGGUGCACAACUGACGCUCAGGCACGAAAGCGUGGGUAUCGAACAGGAUUAGAUACCCGAGUAGUC
rnacentral:rRNA from 1 species